UACGGGGGGGCGAAGCGUUGUUCGGAAUUACUGGGCGUAAAGGGCUCGUAGGCGGCCAACUAAGUCAGACGUGAAAUCCCUCGGCUUAACCGGGGAACUGCGUCUGAUACUGGAUGGCUUGAGUGUGGGAGAGGGAUGCGGAAUUCCAGGUGUAGCGGUGAAAUGCGUAGAUAUCUGGAGGAACACCGGUGGCGAAGGCGGCAUCCUGGACUACUACUGACGCUGAGUGAGCGAAAGCCAGGGGAGCAAACGGG
rnacentral:rRNA from 1 species